rnacentral:lncRNA from 1 species
GGCUCCUGGACCAACCUUCCAGAGUCCGGUAGCUGCACAGCCCCAGAUCAUCCGGCCACGGACUGAUCCGGGAGGCCAGAAAGCCGGCAAGACGGAAUUGCCCGUCUUGGACGGUGCCGGCAGCGGACCGUCUGGGCGUCGGUUUGUGUCACUGGCAACCAUCACUCGCACUUAAACCGGGCCCAGGUGCCCAUAGAAGGCAGAAAUGGUGGACACGGAUCGCUCUCAAGGAUGCUCCGCUCCGAGCCCGUCACCUAGGAUCAUCUGGGCUGUUUCUGCUGUCCGGGGACGCCGCCGUGGAAGCGAUUCGGCAGGGCGCUCGCCACCAACCGCUCUCCAAGUUUGUGCUGAAUGGAGGCAAAAGGUUGGCUUUUCGCUUGCGGGGUGGUGGAAGGAAGCAGAACUUUGAUGACACUUCUCGGUCGGCUCUUGGCGUGUCUGUGACUGCCUUCGCUGAGAGGUGCGCUGCGGGUGUCCGGCGAGGAAGAAAGAAGGGUUCGCAGCGCGCGGGGCCUGGGCGUGGAGGUGCGCUUUGCGCUCCGCUCCGCCCCGGGCUGCAGGGCCUGGACGGUUUCUGUUCAGUAGGGUGUGUGUUACGAGCGUGGAUAGGACAGAGAUCCAGACACAAAGACAGACAAGGCAUCAGUUACUGCAGUGGGCUGGAUCUGUGUGAACUCCGAGAGCGAGAUUCGGUAACUGGGUGCAGCUGGUGCGUGUGGCUCGGUGCACAUCGGAGUCUGUGCGUUCGAGGCUUGUGUGCGGAACUGGUUGUCCACGUGUUUCGACUGGGGUUGCCCGCGCUUGUGCCUCGUUCCUACCAGGUGCCAACCAUACUGCAGCACAGGAAUGGGAACUCAGCAGCAAAGGAAGCAAACAAGGUAGACAGACACAUGGAGUUUACAUUUCAGCGAGGAGACAGCCAUAAACAAGCAAAGAAGUAAUUCUCUCCAGACAAGGAUUUGUACCAUUACAUGAAGAAACUACAACAAUAACCACAGGCCCCAUGACAUCAUUACAUAUAAGGACAGCAGCUAUCAGACAAAGAAACCCACAUUUGAACCAGUGACUGUGAGAAGUGGGAUUCAAACUGGUGUGUUUGUCCCCCUUGAAAAGCAGGAAGAGGAAGGCGCUGGAGUGGUUUCUUUCAAAAUAAUAACAGAGCUUUCGUGACUAUUUCUGUGAGUGAGGCAGGUGGUGGAACCACAGAGCUAAAUCCCUGGCUGAAAUUGACUUUAAAAAUAACUAGGAAAACUAUUGGUGGAGAGUUAUCAGUUUUCUGGAGGAGAGAAGACUUUUCUAAGGAUUAAAGGCAAAGAAGAGCAUCAGUGAAAAUGCUCACAGUCCCAUGAGAUGGUAAGCGCCCUGUUCCCCAACCCCUGAUGCCCAGCAAUCACUCGGUUACUAUUUGUGAUACCAGUUAAAUGAAUAGCUCAGCAAUUUUCUUUGCUGGAUGCUUGGCAGUGUGGAAGGUCUGAGGGAAGGGGAUGGGCUAUGCUGGCACUUUUUGGCAUAGUUCUCACUGGCAGGGGCAGCCUGGGUCUCUGCAGGAGCCCAGCAGCAUCUUCUGAGUAGGCAGAGUCCCUGUGGAAAGCCUCUUCCUUCCCAGCCUGCUUCUUCAGCCCCUCUAGCCUCUGCUAUUCCUGGGGAAUCAAGAGAGAGCACUGACAACAGGAAGCAGUUCUCUAGAAUCCUUGGCAACAAGCGACGCUGCUACGCAAGACAGAGAAAGGGCCGAGCCACUCUGAUUCCUUCACCUUCCAAAAGGCCAGCAGCCUCUGACACACUGUGCGGAAGUGAGCACUUCUGAGAGAGCAUGGGACACCAGGGCCUCACUAUGCAGUUCAGGUUGGUCUUGAAGUCACUGUGUAGCCCAAGCUGGCCUCAAAUUCAUGGUGAUUUUCCUGCCUCAACCUCCUAAGUGCUGGGAUCACAGGCAUGCACCACCACACCCGGCUUAAGGGUAUGUUUUAACUAAUUUUUAAAAUAAAUAUAUGAUAAAAAUUAAGUUCAAGUAAAUGUUUACAGAACCCACGAGUUUGAAAAACCAGUUCUCUAACUGAGCUUGUUGAUUUGAUUCACUGAAAUUUCGGACUCUCUUAAAUAUCAUUCAUUUGUUCAUUCAACUGGCAAUUAUUGCACACAUUCAGUCAGCAAGGCACUCUUAUAGUGAAAUCAGUGUUAAUAGCCUCAGGGAUUACAAGGAAACAAGAGAGUAAGGGAAAGUGGGGAGUGGGGUCAGAGGAAUUGAUAUAAUAGGUAGAGGAUAAAAAAAGUGAUAGAGCACAUAAUGGCUUCCCAAAGAUGUUCAUGUCCUAAUCUUCAGAAUCUGUGAGUAGGCUAGAAGACAGAAGGAACUCUGCAGGUGUGAUUGGCUUAAGGAUCAUGAGAUGGAGGCACAUCUCACAUUACCUAGGUGGGCUCAAUGGAAUCUUAUAAAUAAAAGAGGGAGACAGGAGAGUCAGUGCCAGAGAAAUGGCCAUGGAAACAGAGAUGAGAGAGAGAGAGACAGACAGAGAGAGAGAGAGAGAGAGAUAGUGAGAGAGAUUGAGAGAGAGUUAGACAGAUAUUACAGUCCUGGCUGUGAAGCUAGAUGAGGGCCAUGAGCCAAGGACCAGUAAUAGCCUUCAGCAGCCAGAAAAGGCCAGGAACCAGAUUCUCCUUUGGAGCCCCCAGAAGGAACCUGACACCUUGAUUUUCCCAACAUCCAGAACUAUAAUAAAUCUGUGUUGUUUUAAGCCACUGAACCUGUAGCGGUUUGUUAUAGAAGCAGCAGAAACUAAUUCAGAUUGGACAGAUGGAUGGAUUGAUGGACCAAUGGACAGACAGAUCAACAGGCAGCCUACAAGUUCCUCUGAUCUGGGAAUUCUGCAGACUCCGUCGUCACAGGGUCAGGAGCCUCCUCUCUGAAUCUGCUGUCUGGGUGCUGAACACAUCUGAUCUUCAGGUCCUUGGUGGCAAAUGGGGGCUUGCUUGCCGCAGAGGACCUUGUGCUUUGAGGCAGGCAGCAGAACCACUGAGCUAAAUACCCGGCUCAAAACUCAUGAAAUCUUAUUUGCAAUACCCUUAUUAUUCCCUUCAGACAUCCUGAUUUUAAAAAACCAACCCAAACGAAUAAGGUCCUCUGUGGGGUAGAGAUAGUGACAGGAAAGAAUCAGGCAGGAAGGUUUCAGGGAUGCGCAAAGGGCAAGCCUUGGGGGCAGCUGGUGGAGGUCAAGAGAGCUGCUCCUCAGAGUAGCGGGUGUGGAGGUGCAGGAAGGCUUCCUGGGGCUCAGCAUUUGGGCUGGAAUGGGAAGGAGUCUGAGCAGGCUGAGGGAGGUUGGCGAGGGGGAGCUGGGAACCCUAACUCUGUAAAAGGGGGACUCAGCCAUCAGUCAGCAGGAAUUUAUGGAGACCUACUUUGAAGAGCUACAGGACAGCUUCUUGGUGCAGGUGGCUUCUCAGCCAAGACAAGAAUGGAAAGCUGAAAAUCCAGUAGGACAGGAGUAGGAAGCAGGUUCCAUAGUCAGAGGGUCCUGGGGAUGUGUGGGAAACAUUCUUCUUGGCAACCGGGCAUGCAUCCUACCCCGGAUCUGCUACAGACCUUGAGUCCCUCCUCCCAGAACAGGACAGAGUAUCACAGUCCUCUCCAGAUUGUCCUGGCCCACCUGCCUGCCUCAGGGGCACCAGUGACUUCUUUGGCAGCAUAUUUGACUUUGAGAGGCCCCAAGUAUUCUCAGGUCCAUGGAGAGGCAAGAUAUGGUGCCUGAGGGGUUCUCACACACCUGCCUCCAUGCACAGGGAGGGGUUCUCACACACCUGCCUCCAUGCACAGGGAGGGGUUCUCACACACCUGCCUCCAUGCACAGGGAGGGGUUCUCACACACCUGCCUCCACACACAAGGGGUUCUUACACACCUGCUUUCAUGCACACAGGGCUUGACACUCCCAUGCUGGAGUGCACAGGAGAGGGAAGAGCCCCGCCAGAGCUAGGACAAUGUGAGCAGGAAAACGGGCCAUACAGGGUGAUAAUCCAGUGUUUAGCACCACAAGUCCAUACUGAUACAAACGAAUGGACGAAUGAAUGAGUGAAUAAACAGAGGGAACUUUUUGCAGAAGAUUCCAACAACCGCUGCUGAUGCUCUGCCCUUGCGGAGAUGAAGCCUCACGCCCACCCUGCAACCAGGGCUUGUGCCCAGUGACUCUGCCCGGCAGAAUGGCAGGGAGACAGCUGCCUCUUAGGUGACCCAGUUCAGGAACCCUGGAGCCCGAGCCUUGGAGAGGAAGUGGGAACAAUCACUUCCCUUCCGUGGACCUCCCAAGACUCAACCUGUCAGGUCACGAGAAAACGUCAGACAAGUCCCAAGGGAGGGACAGAAAAGAUAGCGGCCAGUACUCAGAGCCCUCAGGGUUAUCAGAGACAAGGGAAGGAGCGUGCACCUGGGCAACGCACGCUUGGGGUUACAGCCCAACAGGACUUCAUCCUGCUGCUGAAGCUGUUGGGGCUGGGAGAAGCCUGGGAAGCACAGGAUCUGGGAACAGAGAAAAGGCUUUGGGAAAACAGGAAAUCUGAACACAGUGUGCACUGCAAUGACACAUCAGUAUUGGUUGGUUACUUGUGACAAACGUUAAGACAGCAGCAGGGAAAUUGGGUAUGGAGCCCUGAACUGGGUCCAGGAACAAAAAAUGGCAUUGUGAAAAAAUGGGUGAAACCUAAAUAAAGCCCAGAGUUUGGCGAACAGCAAUGUCCUGAUGCUAAUCUCUUAGUUGUGACAAAUGUGCCAUGUGAAGUAAGAUGUCAGCCAUGGGGAAAGCGGCGAGAGGGACAGAGGAAU